GGCACAGUAGCUCAGUGGGUUAGAGCAUCCGAGCAUGUAACCGAGAGGUCUCAGGUUCAAUUCCUGCCUGUGUUG
rnacentral:tRNA from 1 species